GCUCCAGUGGCGCAAUCGGUCAGCGCGCGGUACUUAUAAAACAGUAUGCUGUGGAGCAAUGCCGAGGUUGUGAGUUCGAGCCUCACCUGGAGCA
rnacentral:tRNA from 1 species